UCCUUGGUGGCUUAGUGGUAAAGAAUCUGCCUGCAAUGCAGGAGACGACCCGGGUUCAGUCCCUGGGUCAGGAA
rnacentral:tRNA from 1 species